UACGUAGGGUGCGAGCGUUAAUCGGAAUUACUGGGCGUAAAGCGUGCGCAGGCGGUUUUGUAAGCCAGAUGUGAAAUCCCCGGGCUUAACCUGGGAAUGGCAUUUGGGACUGCAAGGCUCGAGUGCGGCAGAGGAGACUGGAAUUCCUGGUGUAGCAGUGAAAUGCGUAGAUAUCAGGAGGAACACCGGUGGCGAAGGCGGGUCUCUGGGCCGAUACUGACGCUGAGGAGCGAAAGCGUGGGGAGCAAACAGG
rnacentral:rRNA from 1 species